rnacentral:rRNA from 1 species
GAUGAACGCUGGCGGCGUGCCUAAUACAUGCAAGUCGAGCGAACGGACGAGAAGCUUGCUUCUCUGAUGUUAGCGGCGGACGGGUGAGUAACACGUGGAUAACCUACCUAUAAGACUGGGAUAACUUCGGGAAACCGGAGCUAAUACCGGAUAAUAUUUUGAACCGCAUGGUUCAAAAGUGAAAGACGGUCUUGCUGUCACUUAUAGAUGGAUCCGCGCUGCAUUAGCUAGUUGGUAAGGUAACGGCUUACCAAGGCAACGAUGCAUAGCCGACCUGAGAGGGUGAUCGGCCACACUGGAACUGAGACACGGUCCAGACUCCUACGGGAGGCAGCAGUAGGGAAUCUUCCGNCAUGGGCGAAAGCCUGACGGAGNCACGCCGCGUGAGUGAUGAAGGUCUUCGGAUCGUAAAACUCUGUUAUUAGGGAAGAACAUAUGUGUAAGUAACUGUGCACAUCUUGACNGUACUUAAUCAGAAAGCCACGGCUAACUACGUGGCAGCAGCCGGCGUAAUACGUAGGUGGCAAGCGUAUCCGGAAAUAUUGGGCGUAAAGCGCGUAGGCCGGUUUUUUAGUCUGAUGUGAAAGCCCACGGCUCAACCGUGGAGGGUCAUUGGAAACUGGAAAACUUGAGUGCAGAAGAGGAAAGUGGAAUUCCAUGUGUAGCGGUGAAAUGCGCAGAGAUAUGGAGGAACACCAGUGGCGAAGGCGACUUUCUGGUCUGUAACUGACGCUGAUGUGCGAAAGCGUGGGGAUCAAACAGGAUUAGAUACCCUGGUAGUCCACGCCGUAAACGAUGAGUGCUAAGUGUUAGGGGGUUUCCGCCCCUUAGUGCUGCAGCUAACGCAUUAAGCACUCCGCCUGGGGAGUACGACCGCAAGGUUGAAACUCAAAGGAAUUGACGGGGACCCGCACAAGCGGUGGAGCAUGUGGUUUAAUUCGAAGCAACGCGAAGAACCUUACCAAAUCUUGACAUCCUUUGACAACUCUAGAGAUAGAGCCUUCCCCUUCGGGGGACAAAGUGACAGGUGGUGCAUGGUUGUCGUCAGCUCGUGUCGUGAGAUGUUGGGUUAAGUCCCGCAACGAGCGCAACCCUUAAGCUUAGUUGCCAUCAUUAAGUUGGGCACUCUAAGUUGACUGCCGGUGACAAACCGGAGGAAGGUGGGGAUGACGUCAAAUCAUCAUGCCCCUUAUGAUUUGGGCUACACACGUGCUACAAUGGACAAUACAAAGGGCAGCGAAACCGCGAGGUCAAGCAAAUCCCAUAAAGUUGUUCUCAGUUCGGAUUGUAGUCUGCAACUCGACUACAUGAAGCUGGAAUCGCUAGUAAUCGUAGAUCAGCAUGCUACGGUGAAUACGUUCCCGGGUCU